GCGCAACCCUUGUCCUUAGUUGCCAGCACGUAAUGGUGGGAACUCUAAGGAGACUGCCGGUGAUAAACCGGAGGAAGGUGGGGAUGACGUCAAGUCAUCAUGGCCCUUAUGGGCUGGGCUACACACGUGCUACAAUGGUCGGUACAGAGGGUUGCAAAGCGGCGACGUGGAGCUAAUCUCAGAAAACCGGUCGUAGUCCGGAUUGCAGUCUGCAACUCGACUGCAUGAAGUCGGAAUC
rnacentral:rRNA from 1 species